GGAUGGACCUGCCGAUGCAUUAGCUAGUUGGUAAGGUAAGGCUUACCAAGGCGAUGAUGCAUAGCCGAGUUGAGAGACUGAUCGGCCACAUUGGGACUGAGACACGGCCCAAACUCCUACGGGAGGCAGCAGUAGGGAAUCUUCCACAAUGGACGCAAGUCUGAUGGAGCAACGCCGCGUGAGUGAAGAAGGUUUUCGGAUCGUAAAGCUCUGUUGUUGGUGAAGAAGGAUAGAGGUAGUAACUGGCCUUUAUUUGACGGUAAUCAACCAGAAAGUCACGGGCUAACUACGUGCCAGCAGCCGCGGUAAAU
rnacentral:rRNA from 1 species